AUGAACGCUAGCUACAGGCUUAACACAUGCAAGUCGAGGGGCAGCAUGGUCUUAGCUUGCUAAGGCCGAUGGCGACCGGCGCACGGGUGAGUAACACGUAUCCAACCUGCCGUCUACUCUUGGACAGCCUUCUGAAAGGAAGAUUAAUACAAGAUGGCAUCAUGAGUCCGCAUGUUCACAUGAUUAAAGGUAUUCCGGUAGACGAUGGGGAUGCGUUCCAUUAGAUAGUAGGCGGGGUAACGGCCCACCUAGUCUUCGAUGGAUAGGGGUUCUGAGAGGAAGGUCCCCCACAUUGGAACUGAGACACGGUCCAAACUCCUACGGGAGGCAGCAGUGAGGAAUAUUGGUCAAUGGGCGAGAGCCUGAACCAGCCAAGUAGCGUGAAGGAUGACUGCCCUAUGGGUUGUAAACUUCUUUUAUAAAGGAAUAAAGUCGGGUAUGGAUACCCGUUUGCAUGUACUUUAUGAAUAAGGAUCGGCUAACUCCGUGCCAGCAGCCGCGGUAAUACGGAGGAUCCGAGCGUUAUCCGGAUUUAUUGGGUUUAAAGGGAGCGUAGAUGGAUGUUUAAGUCAGUUGUGAAAGUUUGCGGCUCAACCGUAAAAUUGCAGUUGAUACUGGAUAUCUUGAGUGCAGUUGAGGCAGGCGGAAUUCGUGGUGUAGCGGUGAAAUGCUUAGAUAUCACGAAGAACUCCGAUUGCGAAGGCAGCCUGCUAAGCUGCAACUGACAUUGAGGCUCGAAAGUGUGGGUAUCAAACAGGAUUAGAUACCCUGGUAGUCCACACGGUAAACGAUGAAUACUCGCUGUUUGCGAUAUACAGCAAGCGGCCAAGCGAAAGCGUUAAGUAUUCCACCUGGGGAGUACGCCGGCAACGGUGAAACUCAAAGGAAUUGACGGGGGCCCGCACAAGCGGAGGAACAUGUGGUUUAAUUCGAUGAUACGCGAGGAACCUUACCCGGGCUUAAAUUGCAGAUGAAUUACGGUGAAAGCCGUAGGCCGCAAGGCAUCUGUGAAGGUGCUGCAUGGUUGUCGUCAGCUCGUGCCGUGAGGUGUCGGCUUAAGUGCCAUAACGAGCGCAACCCUUGUUGUCAGUUACUAACAGGUUCCGCUGAGGACUCUGACAAGACUGCCAUCGUAAGAUGUGAGGAAGGUGGGGAUGACGUCAAAUCAGCACGGCCCUUACGUCCGGGGCUACACACGUGUUACAAUGGGGGGUACAGAGGGCCGCUACCACGCGAGUGGAUGCCAAUCCCCAAAACCUCUCUCAGUUCGGACUGGAGUCUGCAACCCGACUCCACGAAGCUGGAUUCGCUAGUAAUCGCGCAUCAGCCACGGCGCGGUGAAUACGUUCCCGGGCCUUGUACACACCGCCCGUCAAGCCAUGGGAGCCGGGGGUACCUGAAGUGCGUAACCGCGAGGAGCGCCCUAGGGUAAAACUGGUGACUGGGGCU
rnacentral:rRNA from 1 species